UACGUAGGGGGCAAGCGUUGUCCGGAUUUAUUGGGCGUAAAGAGCGUGUAGGCGGUUUGGUAGGUCCGCUGUGAAAACUCGAGGCUCAACCUCGAGACGCCGGUGGAAACCAUCAGACUAGAGUCCGGAAGAGGAGAGUGGAAUUCCUGGUGUAGCGGUGAGAUGCGUAGAUAUCGGAAGGAACAUCAGUGGCGAAGGCGGCCUCCUGGAUCCAGACUGACACUGAGGCACGAAAGCGUGGGGAGCAAACAGG
rnacentral:rRNA from 1 species